CCCUCUUGAUUGUUAACAAACUAAUGAGAAAGUUGCAUUUUAUCCACAUGUGAGCAAAGUACUCAGAUGCAAAUUUUGAGUUAAGUAUUUCCUAGUGUUAGCUGGUAGAAUUGACUUUUAAAUUAUGUUUUUCAAUGAUUUUUUUUAUUACGUUCAUUUGGAUUUGAUUUGGUUUAAUUUUUUUUGGUAUUUCUUAGUAUUUUCCUCGCGUUGGUGUGGUGUAAAAUGUUGUUUCUCUCGGAGGCAAAGUUUGUUUAAGCCUCGCAACGCUCAAGAUUCCACUUCUCGAACCAUUCGCUACGCUCGUGGUUCAAUUUUGGAAUCUUGCGCUUGCUCAGGUAUCAAUAUUAGCUCGAGCGGUUAGAGAACAACUUUGCCUCCUUGGAAAACAAUAACCAUUUACGUAAACGGCAAAUCUAAAAAAAAGGCAUACAAAACUUCUUGACUGCGGUGUCCGUUGACACAAAAGAAACAUAACUGUCAUGGCAGUGUGUGCUAAUGAAAGAAUCAGUGUCAAUGAAUGUUAUACGUUUAAAUUAUUUACUGAUUCAACGUUUUGCCUACUGGUUUUACAACAGUGCAUGUGAUAUAGGUAAUCGAGUAAUAUCAUCUCAUAAAUAACAUAAGUGUGAAAUGAGAGCCAAGUUGGUUAUUCCCACGAGUUACCACCAAGUUGUUACUAGUGGUAAAAGGUGGGAAAAAAUUCCCAGUAGUUACCGCUGGUUAGAACUUCGCCGACAAAAGAAUUGAGAUCAUGGGUGCAAAGUUCUGUGUAGAAAAUCAUUUUUACAACGCAUUUAUUUUACUUGGGAUGAAAUUUAAGUUCAAGAUGUGACUUCGCUAUUACAGCAAGAAACAACCCAGCCCAGGACAACAACGCUGGCAGUUUCGCGGUAUUUAGCGAAACCGUAUGGGGUAAGGAACGGAACGGCAAUGUUUUUGAUAUCGUCCAAAUUAAUUAUGAUAACGUUUAUCUAAAAUACAAUGAAAUAAAGAAUAAA